GUGAGGAAUUUUCCGCAAUGGGCGAAAGCCUGACGGAGCAAUGCCGCGUGAAGGAUGAAGGCCUAUGGGUUGUAAACUUCUUUUCUUAGAGAAGAAUAUUGACGGUAUCUGAGGAAUAAGCAUCGGCUAACUCUGUGCCAGCAGCCGCGGUAAGACAGAGGAUGCAAGCGUUAUCCGGAAUGAUUGGGCGUAAAGCGUCUGUAGGUGGCUUCAAAAGUCUCCUGUCAAAGAUCAGGGCUUUACCCUGGGCCGGCAGGAGAAACUCUGAGGCUAGAGUUUGGUAGGGGCAGAGGGAAUUCCAGGUGGAGCGGUGAAAUGCGUAGAGAUCGGGAGGAACACCAAAGGCGAAAGCACUCUGCUGGGCCACAACUGACACUGAGAGACGAAAGCGAGGGGAGCAAAAGGGAUUAGAAACCCUUGUAGUCC
rnacentral:rRNA from 1 species